UCCUCCACUCCACAAGAGGCUAGGAGCCGGGAGAAAGAGGCAGUCCGGCGGCAGGGGCCACCCGAGCAGGACCUCCUCCCCACAGAAGCCGGGAGCUGGGCAUCCGAGAAGAAGCAGCCUCAUUUGUUUCUGGUGUCAUCGUAGGUGUCCACCUUUGGCUUUGGGGGAAAUUCCAUGAUCUUGCUUAUUCCUGUCUUGGGAAGUCCUUUCUAAUGUCUAACCAAGAUCUGUGCUGCUGAAGUACCAGUUCUUUGACCCUUGGCUUCACAUGGCUAAUUUGAGAGACCAAAAAAGAAGAACCUACUUCACCCAGUUGGCUUGGGUUCCCUCUGAGAAGCCAUCCUGAUUGACUGAAGGAUAAAGCUAAACUCCAGCAAACUGAGUGGCUCUUUCAAGAAGCCUUUGAGCAGGAUAGAAGUGGGGAGGCCCUAGCCUCCAGCCUGGGCAGCCCAUUGUACCUGGAGCCACCUGGGAUAAGACUGCUUCACCCUUGCUCCGGGGUCUACAAGCUGUCUGUCUCAGC